rnacentral:rRNA from 1 species
AGUUCGGAUUGCAGUCUGCAACUCGACUGCAUGAAGCUGGAAUCGCUAGUAAUCGCGGAUCAGAAUGCCGCGGUGAAUACGUUCCCGGGUCUUGUACGCACCGCCCGUCACACCAUGGGAGUCAGUAACGCCCGAAGUCAGUGACCGAACCGAGAGGACGGAGCUGCCGAAGGCGGGACGGAUAACUGGGGUGAAGUCGUAACAAGGUAGC